rnacentral:rRNA from 1 species
AACGAACGCUGGCGGCAGGCCUAACACAUGCAAGUCGAGCGAGGACUUCGGUCCUAGCGGCGGACGGGUGAGUAACGCGUGGGAACGUGCCCUUUGCUUCGGAAUAGCCCUGGGAAACUGGGAGUAAUACCGGAUGAGCCCUUUGGGGGAAAGAUUUAUCGGCGAAGGAUCGGCCCGCGUUGGAUUAGGUAGUUGGUGGGGUAAUGGCCUACCAAGCCGACGAUCCAUAGCUGGUUUGAGAGGAUGAUCAGCCACACUAGGACUGAGACACGGCCCAGACUCCUACGGGAGGCAGCAGUGGGGAAUCUUAGACAAUGGGGGAAACCCUGAUCUAGCCAUGCCGCGUGAGCGAUGAAGGCCUUAGGGUUGUAAAGCUCUUUCAGCUGGGAAGAUAAUGACGGUACCAGCAGAAGAAGCCCCGGCUAACUCCGUG